GGAAACUAACAGUUACAGUUAAGCCAGCAGCUCGUCCAACAUAACUAUCAUAUUGAAUGGCGUGCAUUAGCUUCCUCGCCAUAUCCAGAAGAGUAGGGAGAAAGAAGAAGUGGAAAGCGUUUUGGUGUUGUGGGAUUUUAUGGCGUGGCUAUGCUUUGCGGUGGCCAUUGAAGUCAACUUUGGCUAGAUAGGACCCUGCUUGUCUAGUGCAGAUUUUUCUUGCUCGGAC
rnacentral:misc_RNA from 1 species